UGAAUACUGGUGAAUAACUGUUAAUUAUAGUUGGUCAUGUUACGAUCAGCUAAGACGUUCCAGAGUGUUUUCACACUGAGGCCUUUAACAGGAGUCAGAAGAAUAUGAAGUAAAGCCCUUCUCCUCCUCUGAUGUGUGCGAUCUAAACACCUCUAAAUGAAUCCUGGAAUCUCUGGGCGUCGGAUUACAGACCAGAACCAGGUCCAGAAUAAUUAUCUGUGGACCCUCAACUACUAAAGGACUGUGGAGUAAAUAAACGGGUGACACCGUCGGCGCUGAUGGAGUAGAGCAGUUCUCCCAGAGGACGGGUCGUUUGUUUUAAGCAGAAAUCUCCUGUGGCUGUUAAAGUGGAGCUCAGAGAGUCAGACAUGAGAGCAGCAGGCAGACAGGAAGUUCACAAGCAGCAUCAUGAUAUGGAGCCAUGCAGCAGCAGUGCAUUGUGGGAAACUGGAGGAUAGCUGUAUCCACUCACCCCCCCAACCAUCAACCAAAUCCCAACACAGCAGCACUGAUCCAUCACACACACUGAUCCAUCACCCACAAUCACUACAGCACACAGAACGUUGGGACACACACACACACACACACACACACACACACACACACACACACACACACACACACACACACACACACACUCAUUUGAACUGGUUUAGAACAGAGACCGCCACAUUAAAGGAAGACUCCAGAAUUGUUGUAAGCUCAUCAUGUUCACGGUGUCUGUGUGUGAUUAGACUUCACCUGCUCCAUUAACUUUCACUUGUUUGGAACAGAUUUUACUCACCAGGUCAGAUUAGAUUUCACUCGCAAGAUUAGACAAGACUUCACAUAUUUGAUUUGAGUAGAUUUCACUUGCUAGAGUUCACUCAAUAGAUUUGAAUCUUCUCGCUAGGUUAGAUUAGAUUUCACCCACAAGGUUAGAAUCUUCUUGCUCGGUCAGAUCUGAUUUCACCCACUAGGUUAGAUUAGAUUUCACCCACUAGGCUAGAAUCUCCUUGCUAGGUUAGAUUAGAUUUCACCCACUACAUUAGAUUAGAUUUCACCCACUAGGCUAGAACCUUCUUGCUAGGUCAGAUUCUUCUUGCUAAAAUAGAUUAGAUUUUACUCACCAGGUUUGAUGAGCUUUCACUUGCUAGGUUGGAUUUGAUUUCACUCACUACGUUAGAUUUCACGUGCUUUAUUAGAUUAGAUUUCACUUCAUAGGUGCUCUUAGACAUCACUUUCUAAGAUAGAUUAGGUUUCACCCACAAGGUUAGAUAAUAGUUUUAUCAGUAUUUUAGAUUAGAUUUCACUCACUAGGUUUGAUUUUGCUUUCUAAAUUACAUUAGAUGUCACUCUCGAGGUUAGAUCAGAUUUCACUCACUAGAUUAGAUUUCCCAUGCUCUAUUAGAUUAGAUUUCAUUUUCUCGGUCAGAUUGGAAUUCACUUCCUACAUUAGAUUAGAUUUCACCCACCAGGUAGGAUAAGCUGAUCAGCUUUCCCUUGGUAGAUUAGAUUAGAUUUCACUCACUAGGUUUGGAAUAUUAAAUAAAACUUAUACCCAGUGUACGUCUCAUCACCACAUCUGUACUGUUCCAGCUGUAGUUUCAGUAAACAGGUUUUUUGUAAAUU